GUACCGCAGCAUACAUUAAAACGUCUUCUUUUCAACUUCCAACUUAAGUGAACUUUCUUCCCCACGUUUUAGUCACUUGACUCAUUUCUAAGUUACAUAUAGAAGACAACAAUAUCAACUAAAUCCCUUCCUUGAAUGUACACAACGUGGAUAGCACAUUUAUCCAUAAACUUCUGAUCAAUUAACCGUUUACAUUUCUCAACCUUGCAACCAGUUCAUCCUUCUUUCCUUUGGGUGAAAGACCCUGCUCCUUUAGAAGCGCACGAAGCCUUUCUACUGUCAAACUGUAAAAGUCCCUAUCAGCUGUGCGGCUAUCAGAUCCCUCUUGUCGAGCAACAAUUUGACUAUUGCUUCUCUUAGCCGAAGACCUGCCAUCCUGAACCCUUUCCAGAGCACGCUUUCUAGAGCCCUCAGCUGCAGUUACUCCCUUCAUAUCCUUUGA
rnacentral:misc_RNA from 1 species